rnacentral:tRNA from 1 species
GGGGGUGUAGCUCAGUUGGCUAGAGCGUUUGAAUGGCAUUCAAAAGGCCGCCGGUUCAAUUCCGGCCACCUCCA